ACACUCCUGCGGGAGGCAGCAGUGGGGAAUUUUGGACAAUGGGCGAAAGCCUGAUCCAGCCAUGCCGCGUGCAGGAUGAAGGCCUUCGGGUUGUAAACUGCUUUUGUACGGAACGAAACGGCCUUUUCUAAUAAAGAGGGCUAAUGACGGUACCGUAAGAAUAAGCACCGGCUAACUACGUGCCAGCAGCCGCGGUAAUACGUAGGGUGCAAGCGUUAAUCGGAAUUACUGGGCGUAAAGCGUGCGCAGGCGGUUAUGUAAGACAGUUGUGAAAUCCCCGGGCUCAACCUGGGAACUGCAUCUGUGACUGCAUAGCUAGAGUACGGUAGAGGGGGAUGGAAUUCCGCGUGUAGCAGUGAAAUGCGUAGAUAUGCGGAGGAACACCGAUGGCGAAGGCAAUCCCCUGGACCUGUACUGACGCUCAUGCACGAAAGCGUGGGGAGCAAACAGGAUUAGAAACCCCUGUAGUCCCAUG
rnacentral:rRNA from 1 species